rnacentral:rRNA from 1 species
CAUUCCGGUUACCACGUAUUGCUCUGGGCAUCGAAUAACAGAGAGUUCGAUUGGCGUCGUUGAACGCUGGCGGGAUGCUACACAUGCAAGUCGAACGCCAGCUGGCACGGACUUCGGUCUGGUGGCAGUGGCGAACGGGUGAGUAAUGUAUCAGGGCAGUAUGCCUAGUAGCGGGGGAUAACUACGCGAAAGCGUAGCUAAUACCGCCGCCCUUCAGGAAAGCAGGGACAGCGGGCCUCACUGUCAGAACCGGCCGAUAUCGGAUUAGCUGGUUGGUGAGGUAACGGUUCACCGGGCUGACGAUCCGUAGCUGGUUUGAGGACGACAGCCACACUGGACUGAGGCAGCUGAGCUCUGGAGGCAGCAGUGGGGUACGGACAAUGGGGGAAACCUGAUCCAGCCAUCCCAUGGCGUGUACCGAUGAAGGCCUUCCCGGGUUGUAAACGCUGGCGGAAAAAACAGCUGCGGAUAAUACCCCGGUAAACUGACAAUACCUGCAGAAUAAGCACCGACAACACGAUACUACAUGGCGCGGUAAUACGUAGGGUGCAAGCGUUAAUCGGAAUUACUGGGCGUAAAGCGUGCGCAGGCGGUUCGGAAGAAAGAUGUGAAAUCGACUUAACUUUGGAACCUGCAUUUUUAACUACCGAGCUAGAGUGUCUCAAAGGAGGUGGAAUUUACGCGUGUAGCAGUGAAAUGCGUAGAUAUGCGGAGAACACCGAUGGCGAAAGGCAACCUCCUGGGGUGCCGCGGCCGCUCAUGCGAAAAACGUGGGAGCAAACGAAGUUGACCCUGGUAGUCCACGCCCUAAAGCAGAUGUCAACUAGCUGUUUGGGGCCUUCGGGCAUGUGCUUCAAGCCUAACGCGCCGUGAAGUGCACCUGGGAGAGUACGGUCGCAAGAUUAAAACUCAAAGGGUUGACGGGGACCCGCACAAGCAGUGGAUGAUGUGGAUUAAUUCGAUGCAACGCGAAAAACCUUACCUACUAUCAACUGUUUGGAAUCCCGAAGAGAUUUAGGGUACUCGCAAGAGAACCGGAACACAGGUGCUGCGUGGCUGUCGUCGAAAAUCGUGUCGUGAAUCUUGGGUUAAGUCACAACAACAGCGCAACGCGCCAUUGGUGCUGAAGGCACUCUAAUGAGACUGCCGGUGAUGACAAACCGGAGGAAGGUGGGGAUGACGUCAAGUCCUCAUGGCCCAUAUGGAGUAAGGGCUUCCCCCAUCAUGCAAAUGGUCGGGACAGAGGAGUCGCCAACCCGCGAGGAGCAGUCCAGAAACCCGAUCGUAGUCGGAUCACAAGUCUGCAACUCGACUGCGUGAAGUCGGAAUGCUAGUAAUCCGCGGAUCAGCAUGUCGCGGUGGAGCGUUCCCGGGUCUUGUGCCACCACCAUCACCAUGGGAAUUGGGUUUGCAAGUAGUUAGCCUAACCGUAAGGAGGGCGUUCUCACAGUAGGAUUCAUGACUGGGGUGAGAUGUCUAAGGUAA